rnacentral:rRNA from 1 species
CAGUAGCCGCGGGAAUACGAAGGGGGCUAGCGUUGUUCGGAUUUACUGGGCGUAAAGCGCACGUAGGCGGAUCGAUCAGUCAGGGGUGAAAUCCCAGAGCUCAACUCUGGAACUGCCUUUGAUACUGUCGAUCUGGAGUAUGGAAGAGGUGAGUGGAAUUCCGAGUGUAGAGGGGAAAUUCGUAGAUAUUCGGAGGAACACCAGUGGCGAAGGCGGCUCACUGGUCCAUUACUGACGCUGAGGUGCGAAAGCGUGGGGAGCAAACAGGAUUAGAUACCCGAGUAGUCCCUGUCUCUUAUAC